rnacentral:rRNA from 1 species
UACAGAGGUCCCAAGCGUUGUUCGGAUUCACUGGGCGUAAAGGGCGCGUAGGCGGCCUUCUAAGUCGAACGUGAAAUCCCCGGGCUCAACCCGGGAACUGCGUCCGAUACUGGAAGGCUUGAAUCCGGGAGAGGGAUGCGGAAUUCCAGGUGUAGCGGUGAAAUGCGUAGAUAUCUGGAGGAACACCGGUGGCGAAGGCGGCAUCCUGGACCGGCAUUGACGCUGAGGCGCGAAAGCCAGGGGAGCAAACGGG